GCGCCGGUAACUUAGUUGGCGGAGCAGUGGGACGGUUCCCUACAGUCCCGGGUUCAAGUCCCGGCCGACGCU